rnacentral:rRNA from 1 species
GAGCUCGAUGAGUAGGGCGGGACACGUGGUAUCCUGUCUGAAUAUGGGGGGACCAUCCUCCAAGGCUAAAUACUCCUGACUGACCGAUAGUGAACCAGUACCGUGAGGGAAAGGCGAAAAGAACCCCGGCGAGGGGAGUGAAAAAGAACCUGAAACCGUGUACGUACAAGCAGUGGGAGCACGCUUAGGCGUGUGACUGCGUACCUUUUGUAUAAUGGGUCAGCGACUUAUAUUCUGUAGCAAGGUUAACCGAAUAGGGGAGCCGAAGGGAAACCGAGUCUUAACUGGGCGUUAAGUUGCAGGGUAUAGACCCGAAACCCGGUGAUCUAGCCAUGGGCAGGUUGAAGGUUGGGUAACACUAACUGGAGGACCGAACCGACUAAUGUUGAAAAAUUAGCGGAUGACUUGUGGCUGGGGGUGAAAGGCCAAUCAAACCGGGAGAUAGCUGGUUCUCCCCGAAAGCUAUUUAGGUAGCGCCUCGUGAAUUCAUCUCCGGGGGUAGAGCACUGUUUCGGCAAGGGGGUCAUCCCGACUUACCAACCCGAUGCAAACUGCGAAUACCGGAGAAUGUUAUCACGGGAGACACACGGCGGGUGCUAACGUCCGUCGUGAAGAGGGAAACAACCCAGACCGCCAGCUAAGGUCCCAAAGUCAUGGUUAAGUGGGAAACGAUGUGGGAAGGCCCAGACAGCCAGGAUGUUGGCUUAGAAGCAGCCAUCAUUUAAAGAAAGCGUAAUAGCUCACUGGUCGAGUCGGCCUGCGCGGAAGAUGUAACGGGGCUAAACCAUGCAC